CCAAAGUUAGAUGCAUUGAAAUUUAAUUUACAACAAGCAAUACAUAAACUGAAACAGUGUUGGGAGUCUGAGACGAUGAUGCCUAUAAGCAUUGAGAUGGAAAAGGGAAUAGGAGUAUCAGUGCUAAAGGAUCCUAAAAAUUGUAGAGGUCUGGGAAAGGGAAUUUCCAAGUACAGGGUGAACCUGUCAUAUUUAACAUGUGAUGGACUCUAAAAGUUGUAAAUAAAUUUAUUAUUCUGAUCCACUAAAAUUAUACGGACGGAACAAAUGAUAACUCCCUUUGCUCACUUUUUAAUUGAGCUUCUGCCAUUGUGUUAAAAAACAAUAGCUAUGGAUUCAUGAUUUGAACCGUACACAUGCAGCAAAAUGCUUCGCGAACGGCGGCCAGAAAA
rnacentral:lncRNA from 7 species